GAGAGUUGUCUAUAUGUUAAAUCUGUAUAGACUUCGCAAGUGACCUUUUGUCUUUCAUCGAAAGCACUUGACCUGCAGCAGUGUGGCCUCACCAGUGAAGGAGCAAAGGCUUUACUAAAGGCCCUUGAAAGCAACAGAACUCUGGUCGUUUUGGAUAUAAGAAAAAAAUCCACUUGUUGAUCAUUCUGUGAUGAAAGCAGUUAUCAAAAAAGUUCUCCAGAUGGAAGGAGUGCCAAGUCAGAGGCUCAAAGAUUUGGAAAGAGAUAGUUUAACAGAAAAGAUUUGUCCUUGGAGAACGGAGCUCAUGCUUUCAGUCGGGAAGUGAAUGGAUGUCUAGAAAACGGGAGCCAGACAAGUGGUGAGGAGCGCAGAGUGGAAAUAGCAGAGAAAAAGAAGUCCCCCAAACCUGUUUCCAAACUUUGCAUGCCCAGGAGAA